UACAAGUGCUUUGCUGUUCACACCGGU
rnacentral:piRNA from 1 species